rnacentral:rRNA from 1 species
UUGAAAGGGAAACGAUUGAAGUCAGUCGUACCUAUGGGUAAUCAGCCUUUUGGGUGUGAUUUUGUAGAGCGUGAGGAGUUAAACGCCUUCAUGCCUGCAUAUUCGUGCACUUUGGGUGUACUUGCCCGUGUGUAAGUUAACAUCAAUUUUGGUGGUCAUAAAAUGGCUGGAGGAAUGUAGCUUCGAUCUUGUAUUGAAGUGUUAUAGCCUUCGGUAGAUGUGACGAUCGGGAUUGAGGAUUGCAACGGAUACCCUUCGGGGCUACCUGUCUGAUCUCUGAUUGUUGCUCUGGUACCGAAAGCUUACUUACGGUUAUCAAAGUCGAUGGUCAAUAGGUUAGAACGGGUUAAAUUCGUUAAGGAUGUUGACGUA